rnacentral:lncRNA from 1 species
AUGCAGAACGCUGCGGCGAGAAACGCAGUCGUAAACCAAAACUCCUUCCCCACUGACCCCCAGGCGUGGCACCAGCGGCAGGUCACCGCUCUUGCGGGAGCCAGCGACACCGCGCCAGAGCAGGAGCGGAAGGCGGCGCCGGCCGCGGGCAACGGCGCAGUGCGAGCAGAAGGAAGAAAUAAUCUUAUGGAAGAGAACAGAAUGAAAUGGCUGCAGAUGAACCUGACCCAGUAUUUACUUGUGUGUCUAACAGAAAAAAACGUAUAUAUUUUCAUGGAUCUCAGAAGCUUGCAAAUUUCUCUCCGAAGUAUGAAAGAAGAUUCUUUGAUUUGUUGCAUUCUGCAGCAUAUUUUGGUUUGGAUACUGGAACUGGAUGCAAAUGGACUCAGCAAGCCAAAUAAAAGAUGCAGGGAUGCAGGAAUCUUCUGUUUUAGAGAAGAGUGUCCCAUCACUCCUGCUCCUUCUUACACUUACGCCUACAGGUUGCCAUUUCUGAGGUUUCAUUCCAAGAUGAAAUGUGCAUUCUGAAAUGCCCUACUAGUUUCUUGAGAGAUUAAACUGCUUGGUGAUCAAUAAGUGCACUUGCUGUUCAAGGAAAAGACUGACAUGAACCCUGCAGAAAUUCUCAGCAACAGGUCAUGAACAAUUCUAAGAAGUACAUAAAGUAAACUGCAACUAAAGAAAGAAGCAUUGGGAUUUAGCUGAGAUUUCGCCCGUUAAGAGAUGUGGCAGUAUACACUUUGCUUAUGCCAUCUGCACAAGUGAGGAACUCACUCCAGCACUUCAGGCACUGCUAUAUUAAAUAUUGAUGGGUAUUCACUGUAUAGUAGAUUUUCCCUUCCAAGGAACUGAUAAAUAGUUAAUGAAGAGUCCAUCCCGAAUGGGUAAUUCUUUCAGUAACAACAGUUUGUUUGCCCCUUGAGGUUUCAUUUUUUCUCUCUCGUAAAACAAAAUAUAAUUUAACUUAGGUUUAUUAUUUUGUAACCUAAAUAAAAAUACCUAUAUGUAUUGAUUGCUGGGUUCUAAAUAUCUGAAUACCUUUGGAAAUCUUUUCCUGCUCAUAAAUAAACAAUGGACAAGUAGUUAGUCAGCAUCUGUCUGAUGAAUUACAGUGUUGAAGCAUCACGGUCAAUGUGAUCUAGUCAAUAGCAGACAGCAGCAAAAAAGAUACCAGCCUACCAGGCACAAAAUGAGUCUCUCCAUUACUUUUACUUAUUUGUUUCUAGCCACAGUGAAUAAAUAUACUAAAGUUAUGCUAAUACUAGGGCAAGAGUCUUGAUAGUCUUGAUACAUUGAGGCAGCUGUUUGCUUGCUGUGUGUAUCAGUUGUCAGCUGGCUGUUUCUUUGUUAAAAAAUAAAACAAAUGAAAAAAAAACC